rnacentral:rRNA from 1 species
GAUGAACGCUGGCGGCGUGCCUAAUACAUGCAAGUCGAGCGAACAGAUGAGGAGCUUGCUCCUCUGACGUUAGCGGCGGACGGGUGAGUAACACGUGGAUAACCUACCUAUAAGACUGGGAUAACUUCGGGAAACCGGAGCUAAUACCGGAUAAUAUAUUGAACCGCAUGGUUCAAUAGUGAAAGACGGUUUUGCUGUCACUUAUAGAUGGAUCCGCGCCGCAUUAGCAAGUUGGUAAGGUAACGGCUUACCAAGGCAACGAUGCGUAGCCGACCUGAGAGGGUGAUCGGCCACACUGGAGCUGAGACACGGUCCAGACUCCUACGGGAGGCAGCAGUAGGGAAUCUUCCGCAAUGGGCGAAAGCCUGACGGAGCAACGCCGCGUGAGUGAUGAAGGUCUUCGGAUCGUAAAACUCUGUUAUUAGGGAAGAACAAAUGUGUAAGUAACUAUGCACGUCUUGACGGUACCUAAUCAGAAAGCCACGGCUAACUACGUG